rnacentral:lncRNA from 1 species
AGGGAUAACUCAACGCACACACGUAACGCAUGACACGGAAAAAACCGGGAGAGCCCCCAAAUGCACACAUGAUCGGCUAGGGGAAGCCACACACACAAGCCAGGGCGGCCUUUUCUUCUUUUCUCUCCCUCUGAGAUCUGCAUUGCCCCGCCAAGAAAGAUGGUGUCCCUCCGCAUCACUGAGCAGCCGCCGCCCGCCGGUGAGCUUGUGAAUGUCCGUGUCGCCAUCUGCCACGCGAUGGCAGAACUUCAUUGUGCCGGAUAGCACCAGAGGAUCGUGGCAUGAUAGGUGAGCCAUGGGGGAUGAGGUGCCGGAUGUGGCAGAGGCGCCGCCGGUGAGGCGCUUCUAAUCGGCAAUUACGACAGCUGACCUACAAGGCUACAACAUCUUGGAAGAUGCUCUGCUUCGUCAAUGCGGUGAGCCACCCACCCCGUUAUUCUUUCUCCCUGUCUUUACGUAUAUGCUCAAAGCUACAUACUAGAUGGUGAACCAAAUGGGAGAGGUAGCCAAUGACACAGAGUACAGCACCACUGAGCAGCGUGUAUAAGCAGAGACGAUUGGGAGCAGCGAUUCACCCUCUCAACUUCUCCAUCUGGAAGGGAGACUUAUGUAAGCAUGGUCCUAUCUGAUUAUGUAAGCAUGGUCCUGUCUAAAUAUUUAUUUGUUCUUGUUGGUCUGCUCCAAUUGUUUUGUGAACUAUUGCGAUUAUUAACUGAUUCAUCGAUUCAGUUGCUAGCUAGUGAAUGCAUACUGGCUGGUAUACAAAUAUCUUAUAGAAUUAUAUGAUCGACAGUUCAGUGUUAGAAUUUCACAGUGGUUCCUUUCAAAACUAUGGAACCAUUAGUCAUAUGCGAACAUCACCAUGUUUAUUAGAAACUAAUAAUUUCAAUUUUCCAAUAUGUGUGUAUUUCCUGUAUGCCGCAGGCAGCACUGCAUCUGCAUUUGUGAUGCAUUGCCUCAAGGCCGCCAUUGCUUCCACACCCCCACUUUUCGCUGUGAAAUUUAAUCACUUGCCUCCCAUGCCAUCUCCACAAGCUUUAUUGACAAAGAAAUUAAAAAAUUUCAGCAUGAAAAGUUAGGACACGUGUCCUUGUCCGAAAUUGGAAGAACUACAUAUCCAUUAGUUGUGCUCUGCUCAGCUAGCUUUAGCUUGAAUUGUGUAAUGACGGGAAGGUACAUGGUGUGAGCUAAUUUCUAAUCUCAUUACUGUUAUGUUGUAAACAAUUUGUGCUAACCAUGUGAAUUCCACUAGACAUAUCAUGUUUGUGUUGGAAAUAUGCCCUAGAGGCAAUAAUAAAA